rnacentral:rRNA from 1 species
UACGUAGGGGGCGAGCGUUGUCCGGAGUUACUGGGCGUAAAGCGCUUGUAGGCGGUCCACCAAGUUUGGGGUGACAGUUGCCGACUUAAUCGGCAAAGUGCCUCAAAGACUGGCGGACUUGAGGGCCACAGAGGGACAUGGAACUCCAGGUGUAGUGGUGAAAUGCGUAGAUAUCUGGAAGAACACCAAAGGCGAAGGCAGUGUCCUGGGUGGUCGCUGACGCUGAGAGGCGAAAGCCUGGGGAGCGAACGGG